GAGAUUCCCGACACACCUGGAUUUCAGUCCCAGCCCUGCCACUGACACAUGUGUGACCUUGAGUGAGAGGUAAGACACUGAACCUCUCUGAUCCCUUUGCUCAGCAGUUAAAUGGGGGUAUUUCUUACUUUGAGGAGCUAUUGAGAGAAUUGAAUACAGCUGUGAAAUCACUGCUGACGGUUGUUAUUACUAUUAUUUUAUUGCUAACAAGUACUGUCCCAUACCCUGAGGUCAGAGAGAGAACCUCGGUCCGACUUCUGUCCGCACAGAGCUUCCAGUCUGGUGACUGGAGCUCAAAGAGAACCGGACACUCGGGGGAGGCUGGGAUUGCCCUCGAGCCGAGAAGAAGGAUGAAAGGUAAUUGCAGGUGUGCGUGUGGGCAUUUGCCCGAGUCGCAGUGCGUGCACACGUGUUGUUACUUGUAUCUCCGUUACUCCGGGCGUUCGUCCCCAUUGUUUUAGGGCAGCGGAAAGCCUCCAUCCUUUGUUACGGCCUCUGCCCAGAUGAACCACAACGGGGCACUGGGUUGCAGAGCCGAGGCCGCCCUUGCUCUUGGGGAGGAGAGUGGAGUGGCGGGGGAGGCUAUCCCCUCGGUUCCCACGGUGCCCUCUGGUGUCGUCCUCACCCACCCGCCUGCGCACCUUCGCUCGACUCUGGUCACUUUUAGGGAUUGAUGCACCGUGUCAGACACGCCGCCUGUAUUGAUUCAGCACCUGGGAUUGGGCGCUAGGGUGCAGGUGUGAACUCCCGGGGCCGGACGUCCGGAAAAUGACGCACCGAGCGGGGGCGGGGGCGGCUAGAGCCGGGAAGCGCGGAUUACCGCGCACCCAGAAGGGGAUGGGUCCAACGUGGAGUUCGAGGCCGGACCCGCACCCAACAGUGAGUAGAGGAAGACGGAGGGGAACGGCACAGCGUUUCGGGAGAGAAUGGGGGCGCGGCAAGUUCCCGGAGCAAGCCCGGACGACACUGGGCGGCCGGAGUCCUAGCGAGAUCCUGCGUGAACCGGCUCGAAAGCAGGGACGCUUGCAUUGCCACCCACAGAAUGAACACCAUGGUCGACUGUUCCGCGCACGCGCACACCGACCAGUUAGUCUAUGCGCUCAAAGCCGACUGCCGGAUAAGAAUUCCUCACAGGUUCGAUUGGACCUCCAACGCCAAGAGUUGCUCUUUUGUAGGCGAGCUUUGGGCCUGGACGCGGGGAACCCGGUCCGCCGUGCGUUAGAGAAAUGUACGUGUCUGCAGCGAGUUUGCACCGGACCCAGGAGCUGGGACUGCGACUCGGAAGAGCUACUCCCUCGGCCUGGACGGCGGGGCCAGGGUCCAUAGGAACCGCGUGAGCGGUGUGCUGAGCGCCCCAGCACGGGUCUUGCUAACGCCGUCAGCAUCCGCACUGUUUGGGGUUCCUGGACACCUGACUUCCGGGAAAGAUAACCGCACAUCUCGAGGCUUUGCCCUGAAGUUUCAGUCAGGACUGGGUUAGAUGGGCGGGUUCCUUUGUUUAGCUCCGUAACCUGGGCAGAACUCUCCGACUCUGGCCCCAGCCGGGUGGGCCUUUCAGCACGUGGGGUGCCUUGGCACUUCUUGCGCUUCGCCUCUGCGUCCGCCGGCCAAGGGGUCCUGGCAACCCUAGAGGCCAAGGUCGGGAGCAGGGAUGCCAGACCCAUCUAGAAAAACAGAGAUUCCCUGGAGGGCCCCUCCAUCCCAACCCCAUUUGGCUCAUCAAGUCCCUGGGAAAUAGAGUCAAUGUUUUGGGGAGGCCCGCUUGGUGAAAUGGGGCUAACAAAUCUAUCCUAUUUCACUGCCAGAGAGAAGAGUGAGGAGGAGCUGGGAUCUCCCCACCAGCACGCACUGGUACAUGUGUGAAAGGUUAGUGGUCAUGUGGCUCCCAAUGCACAGGCUGCCAGCACCCCAGCCAGUUUCCAUUGCUUGUCAUUCCUUCUGCACCCACACAUACUAACUUAAAGACGAGAAAAUUGAGGAAAAGUCUCCCUGGGGCUCCAGUGGUCCCCAAGCCCUUACAACCAUGCCUGAGUACAGGAGCUCACUGGAGCCUCACACUUCCUUAUUUCCAGAUCUGAGGAUGUGCGGGCAGGAAGAAAUAACUCCAGUCUGGCUGCUGCAAGCAUUUGUAAAGCUGCUUUCUCCCCACAACACACUUUCCCUGGCGCCUGCUCUGCCCCAGCCCUGGGUUGGGCCCUGGGGACACUGAUGAGUCAGUCUCCUGAAGCCCCUGCCGGGCGGCAGCAGCCUCACUGCCUGUGCACGCUACCUAGCCAGGGCCUGUGGGCUGGUCUGCAGGACCUCAGUCUGGGCCCUGGCCGGCUGU
rnacentral:lncRNA from 1 species